CAUGUCUUUUCUCUGGGAAAUUAUUUCUGUUUGGAAUAUUUCUAGAGCCUCAUUCACCUGUUUUGUUUGUUCUUUAACCUCCUGUGCUACCAGUUCAGAUUGUCCAGGAGCUUUCACCCUCAUCCUGAGAAGUCACUCUGGUGGCCUCCCCUCAAGCGGCAGAGGCAGACUUGCGGGAGAUACAUCCCGCACCAGCUCAUCUUGUUCAGCAGUCCUGGCCCUGCCGCCCUCGAGACCGCAGCGGGGAAGGCGAGGGGCACCCAGUUCCACUCCUAGGAAAAGAUGUGGGCUGGGGCAGCCUUUGAAGGGAGGCAGGCGGCAGUAGACCCAGCGCCUGUGUGAGGCUGAGGCUGACAGAGAAGGUGAAAGCCCACGCCUGGGGAAGUCGGCAGCGGUCCCGCACACACUGCCGAGUCUGAGGGCCCUCAGUGGCCGUACACGUGGGGACGCUGAGGCCAGACAACAGGCGCCUCCCACCAGCAGGAGGUUGCCAUGACCGCAGCGGUGCCACCUCAGACCUCCCUCUGCAGAACUUGCACUCUGCACACCAAACGGCACCAAAAGCAAGGUCAGGUGCCAUACUGUGCCCAUCCUCCGUGCCACUUCCUGCUCUGGGACAGCGGCGGCUGCGGAGUGCAGACAGGGUCAAGCCGUGCGGUUUCCUCCUGGACAGGGCUUCUCACAGAGGCAUUGCUCUUCCUGGGAGUAAAUAAAAACAGCCCUAUUUCCAGGAUGCCAGCUUUAACUCCUGAUGGGGAGCAGAAGGCCGAGCAGGUGUGUGCAGAGAAAGAAAACUCGCGGGGUGCUCGAGGUGACAGGUGUGAGAACUUGCCCCCCAAAAGGCAUGAUCCACCUUGACGGCCUCUUUCAACACCCAGCUCCUCCCUGCCGGUGUCUUCCCUGAAGUGUUGCAGACAUCGUGUCCCAGCGCUCCCUGCGUGCCCAUGUCCACACACACAGCUCGUAAGGGCACAGUCUCAGCGGUGGCCUUCACGCCCAUCAGCAGAUAAAGACAGGGUGGCGGGCUGGGGAUUUAGCUCAGUGGUUCCACCGCCUGCCUCACAAGCACGAGGUCCUGAGUUUGAUCCCCGGUACUGGGAGAAACAAAAAAAAGAACAAAUGAGUCAUUUGUAGGAAAAUGGAUGAUCUUGAGAUUGUGAUAUUAAGUGAAAUAAACCAGACACAUGGACUUAAAUAUCGUGUGGUUUCUCUUAUAUAAGGAACUCAAGGCAUCAAGGCAUACGUGACUUACAGGGCAAAAUAAAAGAUAAAUAAUAGAAACCAGGGAGAGAGAUCUUCUGCAAAUGCGAAG
rnacentral:lncRNA from 1 species